rnacentral:rRNA from 1 species
AGAGUUUGAUCCUGGCUCAGGAUGAACGCUGGCGGCGUGCCUAACACAUGCAAGUCGAACGAUGAAACCGCCCUCGGGCGGACAUGAAGUGGCGAACGGGUGAGUAACACGUGACCAACCUGCCCCCCUCUCCGGGACAACCUUGGGAAACCGAGGCUAAUACCGGAUACUCCCUCCCCUGCUCCUGCAGGGGUCGGGAAAGCCCAGGCGGAGGGGGAUGGGGUCGCGGCCCAUUAGGUAGUAGGCGGGGUAACGGCCCACCUAGCCCGCGAUGGGUAGCCGGGUUGAGAGACCGACCGGCCACAUUGGGACUGAGAUACGGCCCAGACUCCUACGGGAGGCAGCAGUGGGGAAUUUUGCGCAAUGGGGGCAACCCUGACGCAGCAACGCCGCGUGCGGGACGACGGCCUUCGGGUUGUAAACCGCUUUCAGCAGGGAAGAAAUUCGACGGUACCUGCAGAAGAAGCUCCGGCUAACUACGUGCCAGCAGCCGCGGUAAUACGUAGGGAGCGAGCGUUAUCCGGAUUCAUUGGGCGUAAAGAGCGCGUAGGCGGCCUCUCAAGCGGGAUCUCUAAUCCGAGGGCUCAACCCCCGGCCGGAUCCCGAACUGGGAGGCUCGAGUUCGGUAGAGGCAGGCGGAAUUCCCGGUGUAGCGGUGGAAUGCGCAGAUAUCGGGAAGAACACCGAUGGCGAAGGCAGCCUGCUGGGCCGCAACUGACGCUGAGGCGCGAAAGCUAGGGGAGCGAACAGGAUUAGAUACCCUGGUAGUCCUAGCCGUAAACGAUGGAUACUAGGUGUGGGGGGCUCCGCCCUCCGUGCCGCAGCCAACGCAUUAAGUAUCCCGCCUGGGGAGUACGGCCGCAAGGCUAAAACUCAAAGGAAUUGAC